UACGUAGGGCGCAAGCGUUAUCCGGAAUUAUUGGGCGUAAAGAGCUCGUAGGCGGUUUGUCGCGUCUGCCGUGAAAGUCCGGGGCUCAACUCCGGAUCUGCGGUGGGUACGGGCAGACUAGAGUGAUGUAGGGGAGACUGGAAUUCCUGGUGUAGCGGUGAAAUGCGCAGAUAUCAGGAGGAACACCGAUGGCGAAGGCAGGUCUCUGGGCAUUAACUGACGCUGAGGAGCGAAAGCGUGGGGAGCAAACGGG
rnacentral:rRNA from 1 species